GAUGAACGCUGACAGAAUGCUUAACACAUGCGAGUCUUUGGCGAAGCUGUGCUUGCACAGCCUAGCCAAGGCGGACGGGUGAGUAACGCGUAAGGAACUUGCCCUGCAGUCAGGGAUAACAGACGGAAACGACUGAUAAGACCUGGUAAAGUCAGGCGGACUCAUGUCCAGCCUGAUGAAAAGAGAUGCUGCAGGAGAGCCUUGCGUCCUAUUAGCUUGUUGGUGGGGUAACGGCCCACCAAGGCGAUGAUAGGUAGCCGGCCUGAGAGGGUGGACGGCCACAAGGGGACUGAGAUACGGCCCUUACUCCUACGGGAGGCAGCAGUGGGGAAUAUUGGACAAUGGGGGCAACCCUGAUCCAGCAAUUCUGUGUGCACGAUGAAGGUUUUCGGAUUGUAAAGUGCUUUCAGCAGGGAAGAAAAAAAUGACGGUACCUGCAGAAGAAGCGACGGCUAAAUACGU
rnacentral:rRNA from 1 species